AUUGAACGCUGGCGGCAGGCCUAACACAUGCAAGUCGAGCGGAGCGGCGGACGGGUGAGUAAUGCCUAGGAAUCUGCCUGGUAGUGGGGGAUAACGUCCGGCAACGGGCGCUAAUACCGCAUACUAUCAGAUGAGCCUAGGUCGGAUUAGCUAGGUGGUGGGGUAAAGGCCUACCAAGGCGACGAUCCGUAACUGGUCUGAGAGGAUGAUCAGUCACACUGGAACUGAGAAGCGGGCCAGACUCCGACGGGAGGGAGCAGUGGGGAAUAUUGGACAAUGGGCGAAAGGCUGAUUCAGCAAAGCCGGGUGGGUGAAGAAGGUCCUCGGAUUGUAAAGUACUUUAAGUUGGGAGGCGGUACCAACAGAAUAAGCACCGGCUAACUUCGUGCCAGCAGCCGCGGUAAUUC
rnacentral:rRNA from 1 species